GGGUGCGAUCAUACCAGCACUAAUGCACCGGAUCCCAACAGAACUCCGAAGUUAAACCUGCUUGGGCGAGAGUAGUACUAAGAUGGGUGACCUCUUGGGAAGUCCUCGUGUUGCACCCC
rnacentral:rRNA from 1 species